rnacentral:rRNA from 1 species
GAUGAACGCUGGCGGCGUGCCUAAUACAUGCAAGUCGAGCGAACAGACGAGAAGCUUGCUUCUCUGAUGUUAGCGGCGGACGGGUGAGUAACACGUGGAUAACCUACCUAUAAGACUGGGAUAACUUCGGGAAACCGGAGCUAAUACCGGAUAAUAUUUUGAACCGCAUGGUUCAAAAGUGAAAGACGGUCUUGCUGUCACUUAUAGAUGGAUCCGCGCUGCAUUAGCUAGUUGGUAAGGUAACGGCUUACCAAGGCAACGAUGCAUAGCCGACCUGAGAGGGUGAUCGGCCACACUGGAACUGAGACACGGUCCAGACUCCUACGGGAGGCAGCAGUAGGGAAUCUUCCGCAAAGGGCGAAAGCCUGACGGAGCAACGCCGCGUGAGUGAUGAAGGUCUUCGGAUCGUAAAACUCUGUUAUUAGGGAAGAACAUAUGUGUAAGUAACUGUGCACAUCUUGACGGUACCUAAUCAGAAAGCCACGGCUAACUACGUG